rnacentral:rRNA from 1 species
UACGUAGGGUGCGAGCGUUAAUCGGAAUUACUGGGCGUAAAGCGUGCGCAGGCGGUUUUUUAAGACAGGCGUGAAAUCCCCGGGCUUAACCUGGGAACUGCGCUUGUGACUGGAAGGCUAGAGUACGGCAGAGGGGGGUGGAAUUCCACGUGUAGCAGUGAAAUGCGUAGAGAUGUGGAGGAACACCGAUGGCGAAGGCAGCCCCCUGGGCCGAUACUGACGCUCAUGCACGAAAGCGUGGGGAGCAAACAGGAUUAGAAACCCCCGUAGUCC